UACGUAGGGUGCGAGCGUUAAUCGGAAUUACUGGGCGUAAAGCGUGCGCAGGCGGUUAUGUAAGUCAGAUGUGAAAUCCCCGGGCUCAACCUGGGAACUGCAUUUGUGACUGCAUAGCUAGAGUACGGUAGAGGGGGAUGGAAUUCCGCGUGUAGCAGUGAAAUGCGUAGAUAUGCGGAGGAACACCGAUGGCGAAGGCAAUCCCCUGGACCUGUACUGACGCUCAUGCACGAAAGCGUGGGGAGCAAACAGG
rnacentral:rRNA from 1 species